rnacentral:lncRNA from 1 species
UCCCAUCCCAAAACCUUGGUGGGCAGAGAAAUAGGUAAGGCUCAGGGAGAUUAAGGGAUGCACCCAAGGUCAAACACAACCAGUAGGCAGUAGGCCAGGAUUGAAUCUGGAUGUCUGACUCCAGAGACUUCUGGAGGUUCAGUUACCAGCACACGGCGGAGAUCUUCCUCCACCACCACCACCUAGAGAGAAUGAGCAGGAAACCUCAGAAGAAAUGGCACCCAAAAGAGCCAGAAGUGUCGCCUCAGCCAGCUAAGGUUGGAACCACUUACCAACGCCCAGAAUCACGUCUUUCCAAUCAAACCCAAUGACUGUUCAUCUCUGGGUUUCAGUUUCCUGGUUUGUAAACUCCCAUGAGUAAACAAUCUCUGAUUAUCCCGACCACAGAGAGGGUUCAAUCAGGUGUGCUGGUGGUCUUCAAUCAAACAUGGAUUUACC